rfam:Schistosoma mansoni strain Puerto Rico chromosome 4, complete genome
AGCUUUCUGAAUCCGUGUAGAGAUUUCGUCGGAUGCCAACCCAUUAAGGAUGAUCAGAUUUCCAAGAUGAGUGAAGUU